AGAGUUUGAUCCUGGCUCAGAACGAACGCUGGCGGCAGGCCUCAAACAUGCAAGUCUAGGGGGUAGCAAUACCACCGGCGGACGGGUGCGUAACGCGUGGGAAUGUACCUAUUGGUUCGGAACAACACAGGGAAACUUGUGCUAAUACCGAAUGUGCCCGUAAGGGGAAAGAUUUAUCGCCAAUAGAUCAGCCCGCGUUCGAUUAGCUAGUUGGUGAGGUAAUGGCUCACCAAGGCGACGAUCGAUAGCUGUUCUGAGAGGAAGAUCAGCCACACUGGGACUGAGACACGGCCCAGACUCCUACGGGAGGCAGCAGUUGGGAAUCUUGGACAAUGGGGGAAACCCUGAUCCAGCCAUGCCGCGUGAGUGAUGAAGGCCUUCGGGUUGUAAAACUCUUUCGCGCACGACGAUAAUGACGGUAGUGCGAGAAGAAGCUCCGGCUAACUUCGUGCCAGCAGCCGCGGUAAUACGAAGGGGGCUAGCGUUGUUCGGAAUUACUGGGCGUAAAGCGCGCGCAGGCGGCUAUCCAAGUCAGUGGUGAAAGCCCGGAGCUCAACUCCGGAACUGCCAUUGAAACUGUUUAGCUUGAGGACGAGAGAGGUGAGUGGAAUUCCCAGUGUAGAGGUGAAAUUCGUAGAUAUUGGGAAGAACACCGGUGGCGAAGGCGGCUCACUGGCUCGUUUCUGACGCUCAGGCGCGACAGCGUGGGGAUCAAACAGGAUUAGAUACCCUGGUAGUCCACGCCGUAAACGAUGAUUGCUAGCCGUUGGGCAGCUUGCUGUUCAGUGGCGCAGCUAACGCAUUAAGCAAUCCGCCUGGGGAGUACGGCCGCAAGGUUGAAACUCAAAGGAAUUGACGG
rnacentral:rRNA from 1 species